UAUCCGUGCCAGGCCGUAGAAUGGGGUCCUGGUCUUCCUGUCAUAUCAUAACAUUACUUACCGUUGCCCCAGGGCCUCAUCUGGGCACCUGGUCUUCACGUUCCAUACCGUGCUAGGCCGUAGAAUGGGGUCCUGGUCUUUCAUACCGUGCCAGGCCGUAGAAUGGGGUCCUGGUCUUUCCUCAGGAACUAAUUGGAUCAUACAGCAUUCACCCACAUCCACAACAAAGAAUGCAAUGCAAUAUAUUCGUGGAUUCUA
rnacentral:lncRNA from 1 species